CUCAUCUCACACUUAUUGGGUUUCUGCGUGCAAGUGGCAUAAAAAAUCUUGGUUUCAUUUAGUUACUACAUCCCAUGACGGGAAAGUUAUGUUAUGUGAUCUAAGAACUGCGUGGCCUUUAGCUGUCAUUGAAUCGCACAAAGACAAGGUACUAUGUGCGGACUGGUGGAGAGGUGACAGUGUGGUAAGUGGCGGUGCAGACUCAAAGCUCUCCAUUUCUUCUGGAAUUCCUGUGCUUUAAGUUAAAUCAACUGCAGUCCCGUCGUUG